GGAGGAGGCGGAGGAGGAGGGAGAAGGAAGAAGGGUAGGCCAUUUGAGCUCAGGACGUGAAGGAGAGAAGAAGGGGAGGAGAGAAGAUAUCUCCUGCAUGGUCCGUCAUCGCCAACUCGGCUAUACGGACACGUGGCACUCUACACAAAAGCCGACCCAGCUCACCGGGUUGUUGAGGCAAUACAGGAUGGAGGAGGCCAAGGGGACACCCACAAAGCUGAUGGAUUGUAGCAUCUUCAUGGAUCCUACUACGAGAUGUGGCGGCUAACUGAGGAUUGCGAGACAGAAAAUACAGGAUGAGGGAGGUGUCCAUGAAGACGAAACACAAGACAGACCGAUAGAUGAGGACGGAGAGACAGAACAUAGAGGUUAAUGCACAACUAUCCAUGAAUGGGCUACUGAAGGCAGGAGAGAGAGGACGCAGGCUGAGGGAGAGAAAAUACAGGAUGGAGAAGCAGACAUCCAUGACGAGCCCACUGAAGUGAGAAGACAUGGCUGGCUGAUGGAGAGGCUGUGUCCAGCAUCACAUCACGUGUCAAGAAAGAAGGCACCAGUAAAUUAUUGCCAGACACCAAUCCACUCCUGCUGAACACCAACACGAGGACUUCGCCACCAUGGAGUCCCACUGUGGUGCCGGCACGCAUGUACUGGAUGGAUUCUAACAGUUUAGAGAGUUGACUCCACUAUGUAUAUAGCAAUUAAUGUAAAAC